rnacentral:rRNA from 1 species
UACGUAGGGGGCAAGCGUUGUCCGGAUUUAUUGGGCGUAAAGAGCGUGUAGGCGGCCAGAUAGGUCCGUUGUGAAAACUCGAGGCUCAACCUCGAGACGCCGAUGGAAACCAUUUGGCUAGAGUCCGGAAGAGGAGAGUGGAAUUCCUGGUGUAGCGGUGAAAUGCGCAGAUAUCAGGAAGAAUACCAGCGGCGAAGGCGGCGCUCUGGGCCGAUACUGACGCUGAGGAGCGAAAGCGUGGGGAGCAAACAGG